rnacentral:rRNA from 1 species
CAUGAAGCUGGAAUCGCUAGUAAUCGCAGGUCAGCAUACUGCGGUGAAUACGUUCCCGGGUCUUGUACACACCGCCCGUCACACCAUGGGAGCCGGAAAUGCCCGAAGCCAGUGACCCAACCUUAGGGGGGGAGCUGUCGAAGGUGGAGCCGGUAACUGGGGUGAAGUCGUAACAAGGUACC